GUGGGGAAUAUUGGACAAUGGGCGCAAGCCUGAUCCAGCCAUGCCGCGUGAGUGAUGAAGGCCCUAGGGUUGUAAAGCUCUUUUGUGCGGGAAGAUAAUGACGGUACCGCAAGAAUAAGCCCCGGCUAACUUCGUGCCAGCAGCCGCGGUAAUACGAAGGGGGCUAGCGUUGCUCGGAAUCACUGGGCGUAAAGGGUGCGUAGGCGGGUCUUUAAGUCAGGGGUGAAAUCCUGGAGCUCAACUCCAGAACUGCCUUUGAUACUGAAGAUCUUGAGUUCGGGAGAGGUGAGUGGAACUGCGAGUGUAGAGGUGAAAUUCGUAGAUAUUCGCAAGAACACCAGUGGCGAAGGCGGCUCACUGGCCCGAUACUGACGCUGAGGCACGAAAGCGUGGGGAGCAAACAGGAUUAGAAACCCUAGUAGUCC
rnacentral:rRNA from 1 species